ACCUGUUAAAACGCUGCUUUUUAUAAAAGUGAACCAGUCUAUUUGGCCUUUCGCGGUUGUGAGCACCCUAGGAUUUAAUUCAAGUUCUACCAGCUCUCGGAAGUCUUCGUCAUCUGUGAGUUCCUCACAAAAGUCCAUUUCUCAUUGUUUACAAUUUGAUGUCUCAAUCAUCGGAAAGUAUCGCAAAAGUUAAAACUGAUUGAAAACGUUAAGCGCACAUUUAUUGCUGAUCCGUCCUUUAACCGGCAGAUCAAGUUGAUAUUGGUUUAAAACCUGGAUCACAUCCCGAAGAAAAUUGAUCCCAGAUCACAUUUUUGAUCUGAGGAUCAAAUCGUUCAUACAACGCACCCUAAGUAUAUCCUUUUGGAGAGAAGACAUUUAAUGUCAAUGCAAAUUUCCUGAUUUCAGGAGAAUACUUCCUUGUUGUACUUGUGGUAUGUUUAACCGUAGCGCACUACCAGAGUCGUACAGUUCAAGCAGGUGGCGAUCCGUACGCGACAGUGAGUUUAAACCCACGUAAAAAUAGUAUAUUCAUGGUAAAAAAUGGAAAUAAAGUUCUCUUAGUUCUACCUGCUUUUUUCUAUUAGCGCUACCAUACUAUAUUUGGCGACGAGGAAAAUGGUUUCUAGUUUGCAACUUUUUUUCUAUAUCUAUUUAUUUAGCAAUCAUUCAUGCAUUCUAUUAGCUAAAGGGUUAAUAUCCACUAGGUAUACUAACAGAUAAAUACCAUAACAAGAUUAACAUCCAUCGAUGCAACCUAUGUAACAAUUUUUUAAGUCUUUUAUUGAUCCUUGGUUGCAGUAACUGUUCCAAUAAGGGGUUUGUGUGGGUUUCUAGGGCCUCAUGAUGUUUGGUAGCUCUUUCCUGGAUUACUUCGGAACCGUUGGUAUAUGUAUGUAGAAUAUUACGCGAAUACUAUUUUUCACUCAACGAUAGAAUUUAAUAUAUUUAUCGUCCUGUAAUUCCGAGGCGGUCGCUGUUUAAUGUGUAUAAGACAAAAAGUUCUGUUCUAAAAGAGCUGGUAACAAUUGAAAUCAUAGGUAAGUAGGGGCAAUUAAAAAUAGAUUUAUUUUUGUGAAUGUUUUUAUAUAGGGGAUUGUACCUAUACUAUAUUUAAAAGUUUGGGGGUCAGAUUGGUGUGAAUCUCGCAUUCGUCUCAAUUUACUCCUUCUAUAAUUUUAUAAUUAAUGUUACUCAUUGAUAUCAGACUGCCUUUGCCAAAUGAUUCCAAUUUUGCAACAUGCGCAACAUUUCAGUUUUAGUUUUUGGGAAAAAUAGAAGAGAAUAUAAAUUGGGUAUUUUUGAAAAUGUACCUAGUGAUGUGUAGAAAAAUAUCCAUCUUGUGACUGUUCUUAUUUUACAUAAAUAAAUGGGUUGUUUUUACAAUUCAAAUUUCACAAGCGUAGGUCAACUUUUCUAUCAAUAUGACGAUCGCAAUUUUUAAAUAACUGCACGGAAAGAAAUUACGCCAAUAAAACAGGUUACCUCGAAAGAUAUUGCAUAAUCAUUUAUUAAUAACAAAAGUUUAAGAAUGCGCAGUCAUGCAAUUCUAUAAAUUAUUUGCAGAAAUACCUUGGUAAAGGGAAGUCAUUGAAGUACCUACAAUGAAACUGUUCAUCGUGUUCGUCUUACUAACAGUCGACUCACUGGCACUCGAUAUCGUACCUUGCAAUCUAGACGAGCCAUUAAAUCAAUGUUACUCUGAGGGACAAUAUGAUUCCAAUGAGUUGUUAAAAAUAUGGGAUGCUCGAAUUGAAAUCCUCGAACCUAGUGAGAAAAUACUGCAAUUCCUAGACUGCUUCUUGAAGAGAUUAGGUGUAUAUGGUGAAGAUGGUGUAGUUAAUUUGGUUCAAUUUGCAAGUCAACUGCCCUGCUUCCUUAAAAAAGCCUUGGGGAACCAAGUUGAUGUUAUUCUAUUGGGGAAAGCUGUCGCCGAUCGUUGUCUCAAACUAAUGCCCGUUGACCAAACAUCUGUACGUCGUUGCUUUUCCGUUAGAAAUUGUGCUGUUAAGUACCUUCAGACACUCCCGACUGGGAUUGGUCUCACAUUAUAAUUUGUUUAAUCAAAAUCAAGUUGUCAACGGAUUUAUCUCGCAUAUCUUUUUUACAUUUGAUUUGAAUUAAAAAUAAGCCAAAAUAGUUUUUCAUUGUAUUAUUAUGUUUUUAAACUUGGAUAAUUCUUUAAAUAUUAAAUAAUAAUGGACAA